rnacentral:lncRNA from 10 species
GCAGCAUUUAGAGCUUGGGUCAGAAAAGCAGGUCCACUACAAGUGGGAGCUGGUUGCUAUACACUGAAUGUUUGCAGUCCACAAAAUCAAUAUGUUGAAACCCUAAUCUCCAGUGUGAUGGUAUUUGGAGGUGGGGCCUUUGGGAGGUAACUGGGCUUGGAUGAGGUCAUGGGGGUGGAACUCAUGAUGGAAUUGGAGCCUUUACAAGGGAAUGAAGAGACAAGAGCUCUCUUUAUGCCACGUGAGGAUACAGCAAGGCCCCAAUCUGCAAGCCAGGAAGAGUCGUCACGAGAACCAGACCAUGCAGGAACUCUGAUCGUGGACAUUUCAACCUCCAGAACUGUGAUCCAAAAUGCAUAUGUAUCUUUGGAAGAAACUCUGAAGUAAAGGCCGGAAUAUUCUUUGUUUAAAACAUUAAAAACAAAACAGACCAAAGCAUCAAGCAAGAAGUUUCCUGGCAAUAAACUAAGCACAGCAUUAUUUUUUAAGGAACACAAAUUAAGUGUUCAACCUGUGGCAAAUUUGUACUUUCUCCCUGAAUUAUGUUGUUAUCAAAGAAAAAAAUUGGGAAGCAUGGCAAAAUAUCAUCAAAACUGAAACUAGAAUUAAACAAAACUAAAUUAAAAUGAAAUAAAAUGAUGUCCAUUCUUAAUUCAUCCUCACAACUGGGCCACUAGUUUUAUGCAUCUUGGCAGCCAAUAUUUUUGUCUCUAGGGCAUAAAUUAUGCAUCAGGUACCUCUGAAACUCAGAGACCAAGGAAAAAGGAGGUAAUUUGGAAGGUGAAAUAAAUGUAAACAUUCUGAAGAAAGAAUCAAAUCUGUACUUCAGGGUCAAAGAUGAAAUUCAAAAGGGGUUGACAAUGCAUAGAAAAAAGUGCUGAAUUUAAAGUUGGUUUUAUUAUUAUCAUUGUUAUUUGAACCAAUAAUUAAAUCCAGUAAGUCUAGAGCAAUGAUCAUAAUUCUGUACUGUUGUUUUUCUAUUUUAGAAUCCAGUGUACUGUUUCCAAGAGCUUGGCAAAAAAAAAAAAAAAAAAAAAAAAAAAGAAAAAGGAGCUUGACUCUAAAUCUCUAAAUCUUGGAGUCUGGAUGCACUAUUCAUGUGAUAGGCUAAAAUAACUACUAAUACCUUAUGUUCAAACAGCACUUUAUGAAGUGAUUACACAUAAAAGAUCUUUUUUGAUAUAACUGUUAUACGGCAUAUCUUCCAUUUUAUAGACAGGGUGAGUUGUUUGAUGCGUAAGAUGAGCUGAAAUAGGAAAAGUGACAGAAAAUUUACAGACCUAUGGAAUAAUAUUCCACAAUGGGGUAUUCUUUAUAAUUAUCUGGGCUGAAUAGCACCAUCCAAAGUUCUUAAAUCAUCAACAAUGCCAUUUUUACUGUAGAGGAGAAGAGUUAUGAUCCUUUGACUCUUUAAAUUUUCUUCCUUGACAAAAGUGAUCUACCUUUCUAGCCAACCUGUCUCAAUGAUCCAUAAUGUUGCUACCCUGGUGCCAGAUGGAUAUGAUAGAAGGCUCCUAAAAGGCUCUUGGUUUGAGGAAAGUGUUGCUUACAUACAACAGGAAUCUUGUGGGAUUUAAGAAGUGGGGAGAUGUGGAAGUGUAGCCACUCUCUUUUUCAUUCUACCAGUUGCUAUUUCAAUCUUUUUCAAGAGAAGGCUAAAAUUUUAAGAGAAGGCUAAAAUUUUAUGUAACUAUCAAGGAGAGGAACAAAAUUAUGGCUUUUAAUGCUCCCUUUGGGAAGGUCAAGAAUUUGGAGCUUUUAUAUUUCUCUUUCUUCUUAAUUUAGGUCUUGAUCAAUAUAACUGGAGCCUGUGGGGUAUGUGUGUAUAAAAUAAAGUUUAAAUGUACUGGUUUAAAAGGCUGAAAAGUGUGUUUAGUCUAGGUCCAGGUAGCAGAGCUCAUUAGUAGUAAAAACUGGACCAGGGACUAUUUCUGAUACCAGAUCCAGUCUUUUUUCUGUUGCUUCCAGCUACCUUUCAUCUUAGUCAUAAGUUUGUGAUUAAAUAGCAAAUGUGUUAGAGAUUUCACUUUAAAACUAGUUCAUCUCAGUGUGGAGCAACUCAUGUGAAACUCUGACAUUUCUUCAAUGAAUAAACCAGUCUGAUAAAUUUAGCAUCUUCUAACAUUAGUCAGCAAAAAUGUUUUUGACUUACUGAAAGGACACACAUUUUCCACAAAAAGCCCACAAUGAUCAUGCAUCCUAAGCAUUCCACACUAUUUAAGCAAUCUGUCUGUCUAUUUCAACAAACACAUGUAAGUUGCCAUCUCAGUGACAACUUUUCUCCAUGAAACACAAUUCUUCUUUAGCCUUGAUUUGAUGCAUUGGGUGCAUUUAGUUUUCUGCACUACAUUUCAUUUCCCUUCUAUGGAGUAAUAAUACAGUGCGUUAACAUUAAACCUCAAAAACAUUCAUGAAAAGGCAUUUUAUCCUACAUUAGCAGCAUCUUUAGAUAGCCAUAAAGCUCUUACUCUUCCCCUGCAAGAUAAAUAAGCAAACCCUUCAAAUGGCUGAGGCAUAGCAGUGCUCCUGAAGUAAGUGGAUGCAUAUAAUGAUCUGGUUCUCAUUUUCUAAAUAUAGACAAGGCAUGUUACGUGAUAGAGUCCCUUCCUAAAAAAAAAAAAAACCAGAAAAAUCUUAAACAUUCAUUUAUCGCAUGAAAAGUCCUAGCUCUUUUAAAACAUUCUUUAUCAUUGGCUUCCAGCCAGUGAUCACUGUAGUAAUUUGAGGAGAUACGUGUGUUCAAGAUGAUUUUUCUGUUUCUGCAGGGAUGCCGGGAUUAUUAAGUAUUCUACAUCAUGAGAGUAAUUACUGAUGUUCCUCAGUAGAAGGCAACCCAAUGAAUAGAAUUUUGUGAAACAACUUGUUUGGUAUAUAAUGGAUUCAAUUACACUUUUUAAAUUGUUUGGAAAUACACCUGUGACACUGUAAAUUAACAACGAUGAAGUGAGCCAGCUCUAGGUUGGGGAACUCCCAUAACAAAGCACAGGCCAGCUGUCAGGAAGGGAGUCCUGGUCGUGGAUGAAUCAGUACAACAUCGGGGAAUCCACGUCCAAGGAGCAGAAAUCAGAAGGGAGAGUGGAGUCCUUAAAGAGCUACCAGCAGAGAAAUGAAAGCUGGAAGGCCUGUUUUUAGAAAGAAAAGCUUUAAUGAGCUAAAAGAAAGUAAAUCCCAUGAGCCCUAGGAGUUUUGUAAAUAAAGAGACCAGCCUUCCCCUGGGUGUUAGGCUGUAAGCGAGCUUCCCGUUUAGAGAUGCUGCUGCAAUCACGUUUCAUGUGCAAAGUUAGCUCGUCUGGAUUCCUUGUACUCCCAAUUUUUCAAAGGAGUGACCAGACACCACCUGAAAAUGUUGUUCACAUUGCUUGGGAUGUGAUCCAUUUGAGAUUUAUUUGGAGUUUCAAGCAAAUGCGCCACAGAAGAUAAAGGGUAAUCAGUCACUUACCUCCAUGGGAAUGAAGUAGGCACUUUCCUCAUACUACCUAACUAAACAGCAGGGAAGGAAAGCAAGUUUUCUAGAGGAAUAGAUAGGGCAGACUGAGGCAGCGGAAAACAGCAUAGCCCUUCCUCUAAGGUGGCACCUGGGGGAACUACAGGAAGAAUGGUCAGGUAAGGGAAGUGAGAGGGCCGAUGUUAACAGCUUGCAUGUAACCUUGAACCCUGCCAGCCUACAAAGUCUCCCUACUCCAUCUUCUAUGGAUAGAAUGCUUGCGUUCCCACAUCCCCCCUAAAUUCUUAUGUUGAAGACUAAAUUUCCAACGUGAUGGUAUUUGGAGGCCGGGCCUUAGAUUUUGAGAGUGGAGGCCUCAUGAAUGGGAUUAGUGUCCUUUAAAAAGACACGAAAGAUGGUCUCCCUUUCUCUGCCAUGUGAGGGCACAGUAAGAAGACAGCUAGCCAUGAACCCAGGAAGGGUUACCAGAACUCCUCAAUCAUGCUGGCACCCUGAACUCAGACCUCCCAGCCUCCAGUACUGUGGGAAAUAAAUUUCCGUGUUGAAGCCACCCAGUCUGUGGUGUUCUGUUACAGCAUUCUGGACUGACUGAGACACCAUCCCAGUGUGGCUAUAAUUAAACUCUGGCUUUGUUCUCUACUCCAUCUCUCCCAACCCACCCAUUUUCUGCCCUGUUGUAGUGACAAUAAUCCAUACUGAUAAAUACUUCAGAGUGGGAGGCUUGAGUUAUGACAUAUGAAAUAAGCAGCAGCAAUGUAUAGAGUUAUUUUAUAUCUCAUGUUACUACAGAUGCUUACUGCUGUUCCCGGGGGACCCUUGGUCCUCCCUUUUAGGUAUUCAGCUAUUGAGAGUAGGAAUCAAAUCAGUUUUCAAUAUUAAAAGAUUUUCCCCCUCUUUAUCCCCACAGCAUGAGCAUAAGGCCUGGGAAAAGGGCACAUGUGAAACAAACAAAGCGACAGGGGUGGUACCUGCCAACAUGAAUGACCCUGGCUCUGGCUCUUGGAUGGAUUUUUCCAUUUAAAGAAAGAGGGUGAAGAUAAAUUAGAUAAUAAUAAGAAUGCCACUGCUGAACGCAACCGUGUGACCCUUUAAUUUUUACUAAAAUCAGCACAUGAG